AUUGAACGCUGGCGGCAUGCCUUACACAUGCAAGUCGAACGGCAGCACGGGUGCUUGCACCUGGUGGCGAGUGGCGAACGGGUGAGUAAUACAUCGGAACAUGUCCUGUAGUGGGGGAUAGCCCGGCGAAAGCCGGAUUAAUACCGCAUACGAUCUACGGAUGAAAGCGGGGGACCUUCGGGCCUCGCGCUAUAGGGUUGGCCGAUGGCUGAUUAGCUAGUUGGUGGGGUAAAGGCCUACCAAGGCGACGAUCAGUAGCUGGUCUGAGAGGACGACCAGCCACACUGGGACUGAGACACGGCCCAGACUCCUACGGGAGGCAGCAGUGGGGAAUAUUGCACAAUGGGCGGAAGCCUGAUGCAGCAACGCCGCGUGCGGGAUGACGGCCUUCGGGUUGUAAACCGCUUUCGCCUGUGACGAAGCGUGAGUGACGGUAAUGGGUAAAGAAGCACCGGCUAACUACGUG
rnacentral:rRNA from 1 species